rnacentral:lncRNA from 1 species
AUCCACACGAUUAUGGAGGAGGCUUGUAGCGAAUUUGUCAUCACUAGGGAUGAUGGCUCUACAGCUUCUAACUCGCCGAACUCCUUUCCCACGCCACCAAAUAACCUCCCUGAUCGCACUGCGACUACGUGGAACCUUCCGUCCUUCCCCUUCCCCAUUCGGCCGCCAACUGAUGUGAAGUCCGAAAGCCAAUCCGCCGGGGGAGUGCAUCAUCACAAUUCUGGACCCCCGUUACCCUCAUAUGGGAAUGAUGGAGCAUGAUGUCCUCUUCAAAUCAGAAGCUGUAGGCCUCCAACUUGGGUUGGGAUCAUCUGCAGUGCAGAAUUUUAUCAUGAUGAUAAAAUCCCCUUUUUUAAAACCAUAUUUUUGGUCCAUAGAUAAUAAAAUGUAUAAUUUUUAAUCUCUAAUAGCUAGUUUAAUAUUUUAAAAUCUAAUAGACCCAUCAUUAUUUUUAUUUUUUUUAUUGGUUACACGCUAGAAGUCUGAAGUUAUGUUUGACAUUUUGUAGCGAGUAGCGACGCCCCAGCUCUUUCCCUACAAAUA